AGUGAACGCUGGCGGUAGGCCUAACACAUGCAAGUCGAACGGCAGCACAGUAAGAGCUUGCUCUUACGGGUGGCGAGUGGCGGACGGGUGAGGAAUACAUCGGAAUCUACUUUUUCGUGGGGGAUAACGUAGGGAAACUUACGCUAAUACCGCAUACGACCUACGGGUGAAAGCAGGGGAUCUUCGGACCUUGCGCGAUUGAAUGAGCCGAUGUCGGAUUAGCUAGUUGGUGGGGUAAAGGCCCACCAAGGCGACGAUCCGUAGCUGGUCUGAGAGGAUGACCAGCCACACUGGAACUGAGACACGGUCCAGACUCCUACGGGAGGCAGCAGUGGGGAAUAUUGGACAAUGGGCGCAAGCCUGAUCCAGCCAUACCGCGUGGGUGAAGAAGGCCUUCGGGUUGUAAAGUCCUUUUGUUGGGAAAGAAAAGCAGCAGGUUAAUACCCCGCUGUUCUGACGGUACCCAAAGAAUAAGCACCGGCUAACUUCGUG
rnacentral:rRNA from 1 species